UAUAGGAUAAGGAUGCACGAGAGGUUGGGGUGCGGGCUGGAGUCGCCGCUGAAGCUGCAGCUGGUCGGCGGGUAGCGCGUUUGCGGGGUACGGAGGGGGGCGGACGAGUCACGGGUCCUCGAGCCGGCUGCUGCGGUGUUUGCGGCUGUUCAUAUCGCGCGGCACGCGGCGCCGGCACGGGAACUAGAGGAGCUAGACCAGCACGCAAUCGCGCUUCCUGCGCUAGUCGCCUCUGCCUCCACCUCCGGGGACGCGACAGUGAUGCGGCUGCGGAGCUUCUAGCCGUACCACAACCGGCCGAAAUCCAGCCGCGCCCUCUAGGGUAGCCGCCGUUCGCUGCGCGCGCGGCCGUUGCGUCGUCGGACCAGGCUCAUCACCGCAUCCGCCCACUCGCGCAAGAACACUCCUCACCUAGCGACCUCUUGUUGGACGAGGCAAAAAGUUAGCGCAGGACCAUUUCCUUAGCUAGCGGCCUCUUGCUUCACAAGAUAAGAAGUUAGAACAUGGGUCAAGACUUCAAACUAAAGACGUUAGAACAUGCAUUAAGACUUCAAACGAAAAGAGGACGAUAGAAGGGGUACUUUACCGAGUUACCUUAACUACCUUAGUCCUUGUAGUAUAACGAAAGUUCAACUAGUUGGAGACGGGAAAUAAGUACCUUCUUCGUCGGCUCACUCCUGCUGGACGAGAGAAGAGAUAGACCAUAUAACAGGCCAAACCAUGGAGUACAACCGUACCUUAAAUUUUUAAGUCUACUUCGAACCCGUAAAACCGAAUAGAUACCAGCAUUUUUCCCGAAACCCCAGUCCUUUUCCACGUGCUUGUUCUCUAGGCGGCUACCGUUCCAAUGAAGUACGGUUAAAUAAACACGUUCCUUUACCUUACGAAUUAGAGAAAACGGUUUGUUUUAAGUCAAUAGGAAUAGUUCAGACUUUUACAUGUUCAUCGUUCACCUUACGAUGUCUCUGUACCGGAUUAAGUCAAUUGUUCAAACUUUUGAUCUAAGUCAAUAGUCGAUUAGCCGGACGUCGCCACGCCUUUGCUGCCGCACCAAGUCGGCUGGUGGUGGUACCUCUACCCACACGUCCACGAGCUGUACUCCAACGACGCACGCAUGCGGCUCGACAGGUGGUGCCCGCCACUGAGCUCCUCCGGCUGGUUGACCUGCGGGAAUCUGGGCGUACUUCCUGCCCUCGGGUACAUC
rnacentral:rRNA from 1 species